AUUGAACGCUGGCGGCAGGCCUAACACAUGCAAGUCGAACGGAAGCACCGUGCUUGCUUGUGGUUCCCGAGGCGGACGGGUGAGUGUUGCAUGGGAAUAUCCUUGGCUGUGGGUGAGAAUGACCGGAGACAGGCGCUAAUACCGCAUAAUAGCAGAGGGAGAACGAGGGGGAUCUUUGGACCUUACGAUCUCAGGUGAGUCUAGGCCGGAUUAGCCAGUUGGUGGGGUGAAGGGCUACCUAGGCGACGAUCCGUGGCUGGAGUGCGUGGAUGAUCAGCCACACUGGAACUUAGACACGGUCCAGACUCCUACGGGAGGCAGCAGUGGGGAAUAUUGGACAAUAGGCGAAAGCCUGAUCCAGCCAUGCCGCGUGUGUGACGAAGGCCUUCGGUUCGUAAAGCCCGUUUGGUGGGGAUGAACCGCUGUAGGUUAAUACCAUGCUGUUUUGACGGUACCGACAGAAUAAGCACCGGCUAACUUCGUG
rnacentral:rRNA from 1 species